CUCGGACCCCAGCAAACCCACGAGCAAGUUAGUUUAGGGGAAAAUGAACACAUAUGUGCUUAGAUGGCAAAAAAGAACCAAGUGGCUUGGCAGGUGGGGCUAAUCAAGAAACAGCCACAGUGAAGGGAGGGGCGGUCCAGAUGUUUUUAGAUGUGAUCGACCUCAAUUGGGAAAAUAUGAAUAUGAGUUUCUGCGUGGGCUGGCCCAUGAGCUUCUUCUGAAAAGUAUGUGAUAUUUUUCUCCUUUCGGAUAACACACCCAUGGUGGACAGGAAAAGUGGCUUUUCCAUCCUUCUCCUAGAGAGAUUCUCUCGAUAAUUCCUGCUUCUGGCUGAUAACCUUUCGGGAAUAAGAUAGCGUGAGACGAGUCUCUCCAGCUGACCCUGAGAGCUUAGCUGUCUUGAAAAAAGCCAAGGAACCAAUGCCUUCAGUUGCUGAGGGUCUUCGGGCUAUUCCCUGGUUUCACUGAGUGGUAUCAGAGGAUGCUUUUGAAAUGGAAGAGAACUUUUAUAAAAACAAAGACAAGCCCCAGACACAAAGAGACCCAUUUGGACUCAGAUCCCUCAGUAAGGAAGAUGUGGCCGUGGAGAAAGAGGACCCUUUUCCAUACCCUCCCGACCUGGUAGCAGGGCCUGGGGCCAGACUGUCUAACAAGGUAUAGUACCAUCCCUGGUGUGUGUGUGUGUUUUUUUUUUCAGGGUGUGUGAUGAGAACCAAGAGCCAUAAUGCACUUGAACUUGAAGUAUGUAACCCCUGAAGGUGGUAUAGGCCAGUCCAAUAGAGCGUCUCAAGAAAAAAUUAUUUGGUUUGCAAUCCCCCUGUCCCCAUGCUGAG
rnacentral:lncRNA from 1 species